rnacentral:lncRNA from 1 species
AAAUAGUUUAUUUAUAAAGAAAAUGAAUAAAAGUCAAUUAAUUUAUGCUAUAAAAUCAUAUUAAAACAGCAUUACACUGUAUAAACAUAAAUUGUAAAAUGUUAAGAACAAAAUAUCAAAAUGAUAACCCCAAUUUUAAAAAUGUUAGGCACAAUAUAUUAAAAUGUUAAACACAAUAUAUUAAAAUAAAAUGCUUCAUAUCUGUUUUUACCACAAUAUCCAUAUUUAAAAAAAAAACCUUUCCUUCACAUAUUGAAUCAGAUAUUAUGACCCGCCCAAGAGAAAUAAAGUGUUCAGUAAAAACAUCUGUAGGUACCCCCAAAAAAGGGAAUUAGCAACCUCAAACUGGUCCGGGCAAGAUACCAUAUCUUUCUUUUUUUUUGCCAGGCGAUAUCCUUUUUCAGACUUUUGG